CCCUGGAGGACUAGUGGUUAGGCCUCGGUGCUCUCACCCCCACGGCCUGGGUUCAAUUCCUGACCCCAGCCACUGGGG